ACAUACACGCGCAUGCACGUCUUUAUGAGCGAAAUAUUCUUCAGUACGAUGUUAAAGCCCAUUUCAGCUCACCUCACCUGGGAUUGUACUUCAGCAUGAGUUGCAUCUGUCACAGAAAUACCCUCUGUGUAGUGUAUGGUAUGUUUCAUACAGGAUACAAGUAGGAUAAAUAGAGUAUACCCAGGUGUGAUGUGUCAAACCAAGGCUCAUCUGUCAUACCAAGGCAUGUUCUGUCACACCAAGAUCUGAAGCUACAAGUUCAAGCCUGGUUUUCAAAGGAUUCACAGGUAUGAUCUGUCACAUCCAGGUAACAACUGUCAUACUCUGAUGAGUCAGUCAUAUCCAAGUGAGGUCUAUUAUACCUAUGAUAUAGUGAGGUCUGUCAUACCCAUGACAUGGUGAGGUCUGUCAUACCAAGGUAACGUCUUUCAUGCCUAUGACAUGGUGAGGUCUGUCAUACCCAUGACAUGGUGAGGUCUGUCAUACCAAUACCAUGGUGAGGUCUGUCAUACCAAGGUGAGGUCUGCCAUACCCAUGAUAUGGUGAAGUCACCAAGUUGAGA
rnacentral:lncRNA from 1 species